GCACCGGUAGUAUAACGGCUAGUAUGUCGGCCUUCCAAGCCGAUGAUCCGGGAAACGCUUCGAGGAGCGGCGUUCGGAUAUUCGAAUCCCGGCCGGUGCA
rnacentral:tRNA from 1 species